rnacentral:rRNA from 1 species
GACAGAGGGUGCAAACGUUGCUCGGAAUCACUGGGCGUAAAGGGCGCGUAGGCGGGAAUGUAAGUCGGGCGUGAAAUCCCCCAGGCUCAACCUGGGGAACUGCACUCGAAACUGCGUUUCUUGAGUAUCGGAGAGGAAAGCGGAAUUCCUGGUGUAGAGGUGAAAUUCGUAGAUAUCAGGAGGAACACCAGUGGCGAAGGGCGGCUUUCUGGACGGU